rnacentral:rRNA from 1 species
UACAUGCAAGUCGAACGGGAUAGAACUUAGCAAUAGGUUCUUGAGAGUGGCGCACUUGUGCGUAACACGUAUGCAACCUACCUUUAACUGGGGGAUAGCCUCUCGAAAGAGAGAUUAAUACCCCAUAGUAUAACUGAAGAGCAUUUUUUGGUUAUUAAAGAUUUAUCGGUUAAAGAUGGGCAUGCGGCUGAUUAGGUAGUUGGUGAGGUAAUGGCUCACCAAGCCAACGAUCAGUAGGGGGUCUGAGAGGAUGUCCCCCCACACUGGUACUGAGACACGGACCAGACUCCUACGGGAGGCAGCAGUAGGGAAUAUUGGACAAUGGGGGCAACCCUGAUCCAGCCAUUCCGCGUGCAGGAAUAAGGCCCUAUGGGUCGUAAACUGCUUUUGUAUGGGAAAAAAUCAUCUUACGUGUAGGGUGUUGAUGGUACCAUGAGAAUAAGGAUCGGCUAACUUCGUGCCAGCAGCCGCGGCAAUACGAAGGAUCCAAGCGUUGUCCGGAUUUACUGGGUUUAAAGGGUGCGUAGGCGGGGAAUUAAGUCAGUGGUGAAAGCUGGUAGCUCAACUAUCAAAUUGCCAUUGAAACUGAUUCUCUCGAGUACGGUUGAGGUAGCUGGAAUGUAACAUGUAGCGGUGAAAUGCUUAGAUAUGUUACAGAACACCGAUUGCGAAGGCAGGCUACUAAACCGUAACUGACGCUGAGGCACGAAAGCGUGGGGAUCAAACAGGAUUAGAUACCCUGGUAGUCCACGCUGUAAACGUUGCAUACUCGGUCUUAGCGAUAUACAGUUAGGACCUAAGCGAAAGCAUUAAGUAUGCCACCUGGGGAGUACGGUCGCAAGAUUGAAACUCAAAGGAAUUGACGGGGGCCCGCACAAGCGGAGGAGCAUGUGGUUUAAUUCGAUGAUACGCGAGGAAUCUUACCCGGGCUUGAAAGUUAGUGACGAAUUCCGAAAGG